rnacentral:rRNA from 1 species
CCUACGGGAGGCAGCAGUGGGGAAUAUUGGACAAUGGGCGAAAGCCUGAUCCAGCAAUGCCGCGUGAGUGAUGAAGGCCUUAGGGUCGUAAAGCUCUUUUACCAGGGAUGAUAAUGACAGUACCUGGAGAAUAAGCUCCGGCUAACUCCGUGCCAGCAGCCGCGGUAAUACGGAGGGAGCUAGCGUUGUUCGGAAUUACUGGGCGUAAAGCGUGCGUAGGCGGUUAUUCAAGUCAGAGGUGAAAGCCCGGGGCUCAACCCCGGAACGGCCUUUGAAACUAGAUAACUAGAAUCUUGGAGAGGUCAGUGGAAUUCCGAGUGUAGAGGUGAAAUUCGUAGAUAUUCGGAAGAACACCAGUGGCGAAGGCGACUGACUGGACAAGUAUUGACGCUGAGGUACGAAAGCGUGGGGAGCAAACAGGAUUAGAUACCCUGGUAGUCCACGCCGUAAACGAUGAUAACUAGCUGUCCGGACACUUGGUGUUUGGGUGGCGCAGCUAACGCAUUAAGUUAUCCGCCUGGGGAGUACGGUCGCAAGAUUAAAACUCAAAUGAAUUGACG